rnacentral:rRNA from 1 species
CAUGUAGGUGGAUACUUAAGUCUGUUGUGAAAAUGCGGGGCUCAACCCCGUACUUGUCGAUGGAAACGUAGGGUGGUCUUGUAGUGCAGGAGGAGGAAAGGGGAAAGUUCCCACGUGUAGCGGUGAAAUAGCGUAGAUAUUGGGAGGAACACCAGUGGCGAAGGCGCCUUUCUGGACUGUGUCUGACACUGAGAUGCGAAAGCUAGGGGAGCGAACG